UAUUCUAAAAGUAUAUUCGAUAGAGUAAGCUCUAUAUAAACUAGGAUAUAUGUGAAUAAGCAAAUAUGAUCUUUUCCUAAAGAGUAAUAUCCACCUGAAUAUGUUGUAUUAAACACUUUUUAACCCAUACAUCUGAAAAAUUCAGCCUCAGUGAAAAAAAUGAGUUGAAUGGAUUUAUAAAGGAUAAAACUGAUAUAUAAAUAAAAUUGUUCUUUUAUGCUUAUCUUAUAGAUAGAAGAAAACAUACAAGUUGAAAACACACUUUUAUUGCAACACCGAGCAAGAAAUUUCAAGUUUCACCCUGUGUAUGUCUGUGUCCUUGGGUCUGUCAAGUUGAAGGUCACUCACUAACACUUUGGAAGGAAAGAUUUCUGCCAAGAGGGAGGUUUGAUGAAGAGAAACAUCUCUGAGAGUAUACAGAGCCCCUGGCUGCUGAAUUCCCAGUGGAGAUUUCACAUCUGCUUGUCAUAUAAACUUCAGCUCUGGUCUGGUGAGGAUUAAAGUCUCCCUGAGAUCCUGACUGAGCAGCCUUUCUCCCACUUUAUUUGACACCGCACUAUAUCACGGCAGUGCUGGCUCCUUCCCCACUCACCGUGUGUAGUAAAUCCUCUGCACGCCACAAGGUCAGCCGAGUAUUAGAUGCAGAGUCCUGUCAGAGGUGCUGACAGCUCCAUCUUUCUGAGGACAUGCAUCUUGUGUUGUCACUUCUUCAAGUUUUUGGAAGUGCUGGGAAGAAGAAGCUGUAAUUGAAAUGGGCAAGCGUGGCAGGAGAAAAGAAGAGGCAAAAUAAAUAUGGGGAAUGAUAACAGAAACAUGAAUCAAGCACUAUUGCAGCUCAGGGGACACUGGGUAGGACAGAAAUCAGUGUCCACUUGAGAGGCCGUGGAAGAAGCACUGUCAUCAAGAAACAUCUGAAAUGAAGUCGAGAAUACCAAGAGGCCAUAAAAUGGAGCCAGAAGACCACUGGGAAGGAUUCAAUGACUUUUGUAAAGAAUGAAAAGGAUGCUAAGAAGCUGCUGUUAGAACUUUAAAAGAUGCAAUGCAAAAUGUUACUGAAGUGAUUCAAGAAUACUUCAGAAGAAAAUUAUUCCAAGGCCAAGCAAAUUAUUAUGAUUAUGAUGCAAGUAAAUGAUGGUGUGAAGUAAUUAUUAUCAGUGACAAAAAAUGAAAAGAAACCAGACUUUUGACAAAGAAACCAGUAAAUUAUUUAUUAUUUAUUUAUUAUUUAUUUAAUAUGAAAUUUAUUGCCAAAUUGGUUUCCAUACAACACCAAGUGCUCAUCCCAACAGGUGCCCUCCUUAAUGCCCAUCACCCACUCUCCCCUCCCUCCUACCCCUCAUCAACCCUCAGUUUAUUCUCAGUUUUUAAGAGUCUCUUAUGGUUUGGCUCCCUCCCUUUUUUUUUCCCUUCCCCUCCCCCAUGAUCGUAUGUUAAAUUUCUCAGGAUCCACAUAAGAAUGAAACCAGAUGGAACUGGAAAGUGUUAUGCUAAGUGAAAUAAAUCAUACAGAGAAACCAGUAAAUAAUUUAAAAGAAAAAAAAAAUAGCCAAGAUGGAACUUGAGCCCAAAUCAGUGCACAUUCCAAAUUCUCCAUGAAAGCCUUCUGAAAAAGAUAGUAUAGUUCCUCCUGAACUCCAGAAUAUACCUGCUGACCCCAAAAUGAAAACAUUAAGUGAAAUUAAAAAAAACCCAGCCUCAUAGCCCUCAUGGUAGUAGGGAAUGAUGCAGACUAAUUAUAUGAAGAAGAAACGUUUUACAGUCCUCCAUGUCUGAGGAUGGUGAUAUGUUAGUAGUAACGGCUUCUUCAUUGGGAAAGUCAUUUUUCGUUAUAAAAGAAGAGAGUGGUUACCCUUCUUCAAUUAAGGAGCAAAAAGGCCCCAAGGAGUGUUACCUGAAAAAGAUACCCUUGAAACCUAUUGGGUUAUAAGAAAUGGCAACAACUCUUCAUGUCAGGAGGUUUGAAUCUAUGCUUUCCCAUUCUUUCUCUGGAUCCAGAAGCUCUAGGAAAAAUGACAGUGAACAACUGUUUCUGAAAAGCAAACUGCACUUUUUCCUCAAAAUGAACCUUAGAUCAAGAAUCUGUUUCUUUAAGAUCAUAAAGCAGUUAUAGCUCCCCCUUCCUUGUUUAUGGGAAGCAAGCAAGAGGUGGAAGGAAUAGCCAUUCAACAUUGUUGUGUUAGGGGAAGAAUGUGCAUGUGAUGAUUGAUUAGUGAACUCUUUGUGAACAUUUCUGUCUAAAAUUACUUUUCUUUCUCUUUUUUUUUCACUAGUCUAUUAUUUAAAUGUAUAUUUGACUGUCUUUGGUCUGGUUAUAAAAAUGUUUGUUUUAGUCUCUGUUUUUCCUUUUAAAGUAUAUUCAGGUUAUGUUUACAUAAGGCUUUCACAAACCAAGUAUAUAUUUAAAUUCAUUUGUAAUAUGCUGCAGAAUAUUUCCUCUAUGAAAUAAUUUGGAGUUUAUAAUUAUCUUAUGUUUCUCAUCUGUGCUUACCAUGAAAUGCAUUUCACUGGAUCAGCUCUGUUUUUGCUUGGAAAUAAAUGUCAAGAUAUAUUUAAAAUGAUAAUAGAAUAUUAUGAGGAAAUUGUAGCAAUUAGAAAUAGAUCACCUUUAUUAAAAGUUGUUAUUGUUAGCAAAACCUGGCUACACUUCUAUUAUGGAUGUACAGAUAAUAAAUUGUACAAACUAAAGUACUUUUUCAUCAUAGUUUAAAAAAUAAAUAAAAUAGAUCCCCCAAGAAAUCUCAAAUGUUGGCAUCAGGCAGUUAGCCCUUAUGCCUCUGUUAAAAGAUUUAUGUUUGCAAACCAUCUGUUGGUUAGUAACUACUUUCUCCUGGGGUGAUUCAGUUAGUUUAUUAAAAACUUGUAGAACCUUACUUUUUCCUAUUAUGCAAACUCCCAUAAAGGAACUUAACUACAGGUAAUUUGACAAAAUGAAAUGUUAAAUAUCCUUUUAUCACCAUAGGAAGAAAUGUUUUUAUCACCACAGGUAGUAAAACACAGCCAUUGCCAGACAACGUAUAACUUUUUGCAUCUAAUCUGUCAGAGCACCCAUUUUAAAGUGCAUUUAAAUGAUAAUGGAAACAUAUUCAUCAAAGCACAAUGCCAAUUUUCAAGAGAAUUUUAGAAAAGCAGUACUUUCAUCAGAUUGUCAAAAGCAAAUGAGAAUUGCCAUUUUGGACUAAUAAAGGAGAACAGAGAGGGGAAAUUGACUUAAAUGACUAGCAUCAUUAAAAUUAAGUAGGAUGUGAAAAUAUUUAAACAGAAUAAGUGCUGAAAGUAAAUUAGCUAUUUCAAAUGUCUUCAGUUUGCAUUUGCCCAAUUUUCAGUGCUAAACCUGACAUUUUGACUUAGAUUUGUAAUUCUGUAUACCCAUCUUAUAUAAAAACACUCAGCAUACAGUCAACUCUUGACGCAUAUUUAUUGAGUGUUAGCAAGCAUCCAAGAAGUAUAUUAAAAUUUUUAUCACUGGGGCGCCUGGGUGGUUCAGUCGGUUGAGCGCCCCCCAACUCUUGAAUUUGGUCAUGAUCUUAGGGUUUGUGAGUUCAAGCCCCACAGUGGGCUCUAUGCUGACAGCCUGCUUGGAAUUCUGUUUCCCUCUCUCUCUGCCCCUUCUCUGCUUGCUGUCUGUCUCUCUCUCAAAAUAAAUAGAACCUUAAAAAAAAAAAAAAAGACUUUGAUCACUUAAUCUUCAUAUCAAUAAGAUUGGCACCAUAUUUUCUUAAUUUUUUUUCAAUGUUUAUUUAUUUUUGAGAGACAGCAUGAGCAGGGAAGGGGCAGAGAGAGAGAGGGAGACAUAGAAUUCAAAGCAGGCUCCAGGCUCUAAGCUGUCAGCACAGAGCCCGACGCGGGGCUUGAACUUAUGCUCUUAAACUGCUCUGCCUUACAGUCAUAAGUCUGACUCAAGUGAGGUCAUUACAGGAAUUAACCUCACUCAUCCCAUUUCCUUCAAGCUACACAUUCACUAUGGUGUAAUGGCAGAACUGAAAAGAUAAAAUUGGAGGCAGGGUAGGGAUAUCAGCCCUCUCUCACAUUCGUCUUGCUUACUCUAUCCUCUGAUGUUCGUUCCACCUUGCACCAGUUGUCAGAGGCAAAGGCGUUCAAAUAGAUAAAAAUUGAAGAGGCUAACUCACAUCCUUCUUUUCGCUUUCUCUUUUUCUUCCUUGUACUCACCCUCACACUUCUUUUUGGAUAGCUUUGCAUCGGUAGGAAGACUUGUUAACAGUAGGGUGUGACAUUUAUUAUUUAAGCUUCCUCUUGAGAGCUGGUGUGAAGCAAGUGCUAUUCUAGUCAGUGUCUUUGACCUCUACAAAAAUCUGCUUUUUGGGCGUGUUAAAAAGAUAAGCAUUGUUAAAACUCCUGUGGCUGGUUCAUUAAGUCAGAAUUUCCACUGAUAUAUUAACCUACUAAGUAAUGGCUGUAGUAAGCUUAUAGUGUAUUAAGAGCAGCAUUCAAAACAAAAUACAGCCUCUCCUAGUUUAAGGAAAAACUAAUUUCAUUUCAUGUUAAUUUAGCAGAAAGACUUUUUCCAUACUCACAAAGUUCUAUGACCAAGCAGAUUGCUUAACUGUCUGAAGCAUUCUUAACCUUUCUCUUUAUACAUUAUGAGUCCGAUCCAUUCUUUUGUGAGAAGAGAUUAUGGAUGUAAAUGAGUUUUAAAGUUAAAAUAUUCUCUAUUGGAAUAGAUAUGUUUUAUUAGAAGAAACAUUGUUUCACCAGCUAAUUUAAGUCAGGUAAUUAAAGCCAGAGAAAACCGCAAUGCACUUCUGAUUAUCUGAAUUUAUUCAUUAUUAUUCAUUUAUAGAUUUAUUAUUUUUUGCAAUAAAUCUAAAAGGUCUAACUGUUCCUGAUAUUAGAGUUAGAGCAAUUAAGAAGGUAGG